UGGCAAUCUAUUGAGAACCAGAAACUACGU
rnacentral:piRNA from 1 species